GACAGAGGGUGCAAACGUUGUCCGGAAUUAUUGGGCGUAAAGCGCGCGCAGGCGGUCUUUUAAGUCUGAUGUGAAAGCCCACGGCUCAACCGUGGAGGGUCAUUGGAAACUGGGAGACUUGAGUGCAGAAGAGAAGGGCGGAAUUCCACGUGUAGCGGUGAAAUGCGUAGAGAUGUGGAGGAACACCAGUGGCGAAGGCGGCUCUUUGGUCUGUAACUGACGCUGAGGCGCGAAAGCGUGGGGAGCGAACAGG
rnacentral:rRNA from 1 species